UUUUUUUAUUUUUUAUUUUUUACUUUUAGGUCUUAUCCUACGUGCAAGAGCACUUUCCAUUUCCCAAAAUUACUGCUUAGCUACUAUUGUGUGAUUAAAUCCAGAACAAGGCAGUUUUCAUUUUCCGUUGACAGACACCUCUCUCAGGAGGAAAUGUUUCUAGAGCCAGCAUCUUCCCACUGAAACUGCCAUGCUGGAGGAUACACACCUGAUGAGCUCCUGCCCUGGGAUUGGUGUCCAGUCACAGGACACAGCAGGGGGAAGAAGAUUUCCUUCCUGAGGGGAGCCAGAUGAAGAACUAACUCCUGACAAGAGGAAGAGUGGUUUUGGCACAGUGACAUAAGCAGAAAGACAAGGCUGCUUGCUGCCUGAGGACACCAUCACCUGUGAACCAGAGGACCAGGUCAGCCAGCCACUUGGAUGGCUAGAAGAUCAAUAUAUCCCCAUUUUCUACACCAAGACACAUGCAGCUUCCUGCUCCAGGGGUACAACUGCUAAUUCCUAGGGGCAUGGCAAGGAAAGUAAGGGCUGUAUUAGCAUAAGAUCCAGGCAACCAAGUAUACGAAGACAUCUAGCCAAGUUCUCCCAGCCCAAAGCCAAAAGGCAUCUCGCUGAAAACAGCUCUCCACCUACCAUCUCUUGGGUCAUGCUCCACCAGUGAGGACUGGCUGCUCCUUCAUCCUGGGGUCCUCUAACCACUGCCCUGGGGAUGCCCUUCACUUCUCUCAUUUCUGGGAUCCCCUAGGGCCUGUAUCAUACACCUUCAUCUGCUUGUUUACUCCCUUAUUUUGAUGAAGCAGCAGUAACAGUCUGAGAAAUGGCCUCUGUGAUAAUAUGAAGGACCACCUGUCAAAUCAGAUUCAUCUAAAUUGGAGCUCAUGCCCAGCAUCAAGUAUUGCUAAUUUUUUUAAAGAUUUUUUUAAAGAUUUUUAUUUAUUUAUUCAUGAGAGACACACACACACAGAGAGAAAGGAAGAGACACAGGCAGAGGGAGA